rnacentral:rRNA from 1 species
CAGUCGCCGCGGUAAUACGUAGGUGGCAAGCGUUGUCCGGAAUUAUUGGGCGUAAAGGGCUCGCAGGCGGUUUCUUAAGUCUGAUGUGAAAGCCCCCGGCUCAACCGGGGAGGGUCAUUGGAAGCUGGGAGACUUGAGUGCAGAAGAGGAGAGUGGAAUUCCACGUGUAGCGGUGAAAUGCGUAGAGAUGUGGAGGAACACCAGUGGCGAAGGCGACUCUCUGGUCUGUAACUGACGCUGAGGAGCGAAAGCGUGGGGAGCGAACAGGAUUAGAUACCCGCGUAGUCCCUGUCUCUUAUAC